CCUACGGGAGGCAGCAGUGAGGAAUAUUGGUCAAUGGCCGGAAGGCUGAACCAGCCAAGCCGCGUGAAGGACGAAGGUGCCAAGCAUUGUAAACUUCUUUUGUCAAGGGACAAAAUCAGGCUCGAGAGCCUGACCGUGUGUACUUGAUGAAAAAGCAUCGGCUAACUCCGUGCCAGCAGCCGCGGUAAUACGGAGGAUGCGAGCGUUAUCCGGAUUUAUUGGGUUUAAAGGGUGCGUAGGCGGACUGUUAAGUCAGCGGUAAAAGCCCGGGGCUCAACCCCGGCGAGCCGUUGAUACUGGCUGUCUUGAGAUGUCGAGAGGUAUGCGGAAUGCGCAGUGUAGCGGUGAAAUGCUUAGAUAUUGCGCAGAACUCCGAUUGCGAAGGCAGCAUACCGGCGGCGAUCUGACGCUGAGGCACGAAAGCGUGGGUAUCGAACAGGAUUAGAUACCCCAGUAGUC
rnacentral:rRNA from 1 species